CGCGUAGGCGGUUGUGAUAGUCAGGUGUGAAAUCCUUCGGCUUAACCGGAGAACUGCAUCUGAAACUUCAUAACUAGAGUACAGGAGAGGGAAACGGAAUUCCCGGUGUAGAGGUGAAAUUCGUAGAUAUCGGGAGGAACACCAGUGGCGAAGGCGGUUUCCUGGCCUGAUACUGACGCUGAGGCGCGAAAGCGUGGGGAGCGAAACAGGAUUAGAUACCCUGGUAGUCCACGCGGUAAACGGUGAACACUAGGUGUGGGAGGUGUAAUACCUUCUGUGCCGAAGCUAACGCGUUAAGUGUUCCGCCUGGGAAGUACGGCCGCAAGGUUGAA
rnacentral:rRNA from 1 species